rnacentral:tRNA from 1 species
CGCUGCGGACUUAAAAUCCGUUGGCUUUAUUGACCGUGAGGGUUCAAGUCCCUCUACCCCCA